rnacentral:rRNA from 1 species
UACGAACCUUGCUAACGUUAUUCGGAAUUACUGGGCUUAAAGGGUGCGUAGGCGGUGCAGAAAGUUGGGUGUGAAAUCCCUCGGCUCAACCGAGGAAUUGCGCCCAAAACUGUUGCACUAGAGGAAGACAGAGGUACGCGGAACUUAGGGUGGAGCGGUGAAAUGCGCAGAUAUCAGGAGGAACACCCGUGGCGAAGGCGGCUCUCUGGGACGGUACUGACGCUGAGACGCGAAAGCGUGGGGAGCGAACAGG